UGCAAGACCGUAAUGUCACAAUGAUUUCCAACAGUUUUUUGGAUCUUUCAACAUCAGUUCAUUUUAAUAAACAAAUAGCUUUUUCUGCCAGCCAAGAUUUGGCCAACGUAAGAAGCCAAGUGUCCAUCCCUCCACAUUCUCCGCCUCAAGUUGAUCCAUGGAACUUGAAGCCACCUGAUUUCUCCCCUAAACUCUACAUAUCUCAGAGGAUCCCUUUAAGGAAGAUAAAAAACACACAGGAAUCUUCACUGACAUUUGACUUCAGGGAGUCGGACCUCGGAGUGGACAGAGUUACCUCAAACAAUCUACUGCCUGUGAUCGACCACAGAAACAACACACUGCCAAAGUUCAAUACAUUGUACAAACCUCCUUGCUCCUUAGAAACAAAGCUGGUAUUCGUCAGAACAGGGAAACAUUCUCCUGUGGCCUAUAAGAACCCUAAACCACAUAACUUUAGACCGCUUGCUGAUUACAUACCAGACAUGAUUACUGCAGCUGACAGAGAUCCCGGUGACUUGAACUUCAAAUUGCAGCACCUGAUUACAGUAAGUGACACUGGCAGCUCAGUCACAGACAUCUACUCAAGGGACACUUUGGGGAAAAUGGACACCUAUAAGCCUAAAGAGCCCAGAUGGGAUGCCCGGCUCACUCUACCUAAGUUGCCCUGGCCCCCAAAAUCUGCCUCCUAUACAAGGCACAGACGCAGACAGGGAGUGUACAGUGCUUUCAUGGACAGAGUAGAAGAGAAGAUCUCUAACUCCUGGAAAACCGGUUGACAAUUUGACCUCAGAAAUCAUCUAUUUAGGUUCCCAGCUGUCCAGUAUGUUUAACCAAAAAAAUUUUUUAUUCUGCGUGUGUGAAAGGAAUGAUUGAAACAUUAACAUUUGCAGAUCUGAAACUAUUGCAAGCAAACUAAUUCAUUACUUUAAAUCAUGCAAAAAUUCAAUAAAUGUAGACUUUGCAAGACCAGGUUAAGUUAGGUUCUGUUUUUGAUCGAUUUAGAUUUUGGUUUUGAAUGUAGCCUGUUCUUUUUGUCCUUUGAUUAUGAACACAGCUUGUCUUUUUGUAUUAUUGUUUUCACCUGGGUUUUGUUUGCCUCUCAUUGUGUCCCAAUUGUGACACCUGUGUUUCUUGUCAGGUAUUGUAUGGAGGUCACAUGUCGUUUAAGGAUGGU